rnacentral:tRNA from 1 species
GGCAAGGUAAAUUGAGGUAAAACAGUAUUUUUGUGCUCAUAACCCGAAGGUCCCAGGUUCAAAUCCUGGCCCCGCUACCA